rnacentral:rRNA from 1 species
AGAGUUUGAUCCUGGCUCAGGAUGAACGCUGGCGGCGUGCUUAACACAUGCAAGUCGAACGAACCUUCGGGUUAGUGGCGGACGGGUGAGUAACGCGUGGGAAUCUGCCCUCAGGAGGGGGAUAACGGUUGGAAACGGCCGCUAAUACCCCAUAUGCCGAGAGGUGAAAUGAAUUUCGCCUGAGGAUGAGCCCGCGUCUGAUUAGCUAGUUGGUGAGGUAAUGGCUCACCAAGGCAUCGAUCAGUAGCUGGUCUGAGAGGAUGAUCAGCCACACUGGGACUGAGACACGGCCCAGACUCCUACGGGAGGCAGCAGUGGGGAAUUUUCCGCAAUGGGCGCAAGCCUGACGGAGCAACGCCGCGUGAGGGAUGAAGGCCUCUGGGCUGUAAACCUCUUUUCUCAAGGAAGAAGAUCUGACGGUACUUGAGGAAUAAGCCACGGCUAAUUCCGUGCCAGCAGCCGCGGUAAUACGGGAGUGGCAAGCGUUAUCCGGAAUUAUUGGGCGUAAAGCGUCCGCAGGCGGCUUUUCAAGUCUGCUGUUAAAGCGUGGAGCUUAACUCCAUCAAGGCAGUGGAAACUGAUUGGCUUGAGUGUGGUAGGGGCAGAGGGAAUUCCCGGUGUAGCGGUGAAAUGCGUAGAUAUCGGGAAGAACACCAGUGGCGAAGGCGCUCUGCUGGGCCAUAACUGACGCUCAUGGACGAAAGCCAGGGGAGCGAAAGGGAUUAGAUACCCCUGUAGUCCUGGCCGUAAACGAUGAACACUAGGUGUCGGGGGAAUCGACCCCCUCGGUGUCGUAGCCAACGCGUUAAGUGUUCCGCCUGGGGAGUACGCACGCAAGUGUGAAACUCAAAGGAAUUGACGGGGGCCCGCACAAGCGGUGGAGUAUGUGGUUUAAUUCGAUGCAACGCGAAGAACCUUACCAGGGUUUGACAUCCUGCGAAUCUCUUGGAAACGAGAGAGUGCCUUUGGGAACGCAGUGACAGGUGGUGCAUGGCUGUCGUCAGCUCGUGUCGUGAGAUGUUGGGUUAAGUCCCGCAACGAGCGCAACCCACGUUUUUAGUUGCCAGCAUUCAGUUGGGCACUCUAGAGAGACCGCCGGUGAUAAACCGGAGGAAGGUGUGGAUGACGUCAAGUCAUCAUGCCCCUUACAUCCUGGGCUACACACGUACUACAAUGCUACGGACAAAGGGCAGCGAACUCGCGAGGGCAAGCAAAUCCCAUAAACCGUGGCUCAGUUCAGAUCGUAGGCUGCAACUCGCCUACGUGAAGAAGGAAUCGCUAGUAAUCGCAGGUCAGCAUACUGCGGUGAAUACGUUCCCGGGCCUUGUACACACCGCCCGUCACACCAUGGAAGUUGGCCACGCCCGAAGUCGUUACUCCAACCCUUGUGGAGGAGGACGCCGAAGGUGGGGCUGAUGACUGGGGUGAAGUCGUAACAAGGUAGCCGUACCGGAAGGUGCGGCUG